rnacentral:rRNA from 1 species
UACGGAAGGCAGCAGUGGGGAAUAUUGCACAAUGGGCGCAAGCCUGAUGCAGCCAUGCCGCGUGUAUGAAGAAGGCCUUCGGGUUGUAAAGUACUUUCAGUCGUGAGGAAGGUGUUAAGGUUAAUAACCUUAGCAAUUGACGUUAGCGACAGAAGAAGCACCGGCUAACUCCGUGCCAGCAGCCGCGGUAAUACGGAGGGUGCGAGCGUUAAUCGGAAUUACUGGGCGUAAAGGGCACGCAGGCGGUUAAUUAAGUUGGAUGUGAAAUCCCCGGGCUUAACCUGGGAAUGGCAUUCAAGACUGGUUAGCUAGAGUCUUGUAGAGGGGGUAGAAUUCCAUGUGUAGCGGUGAAAUGCGUAGAGAUGUGGAGGAAUACCGGUGGCGAAGGCGGCCCCUGGGACAAAGGCUGACGCUCAUGUGCGAAAGCGUGGGGAGCGAAACAGGAUUUAGAUACC